rnacentral:tRNA from 1 species
GGGAAGGUAAAACGGGCAAAGCAGAUUUAGGUUCUGGUGCCGCAAGGCGUGGGAGUUCAAGUCUCUCUACCCGCACCA